GGAAAUGUAGACGAAGCUGAGAUAAUUGACAGCUCCAUGUUAAACAUAUUUCAGCUAAACAUUUUGCUGACAAAAGAAAAAUCGAAAUUAAAGGAAUACAAUGUAGAAGUUCUUUAUUAAAAAACAUGCAUGAGUAUUCACACAAAACUCACAGCAAUUACAAUACUUGGAAUAAAAACCCCAAAAGGAUUUGCAAUGAGUGUUAUUUAGGCUAGAUUAUGUUGGUGUUACAGAAAUAUUGGUAACCCUUAACAACUUUAGAAAGUAUUCUACUGGACUACUUAUAAACCAUUAACAUACCCUUUAUAAAGUACACCAUGUAAAUUGUUGCCAAAAUACUUUACAGGUAGACAAGAAUUUCAAAACAUAAUUUAGAAACAUAUUAAUUCUCAAAUAAUAGAAAUCACUGCACUUUCCAUUUAAAACAAUUACAUUUAAUCAUUAAAAUAAAAUUUUAUUCAACCUUAAACCUAACAAAAUAAUUGUCAGCCUAAACUGAAGACUACAACACGGCAAUGUGCAAUAAAUAAAUGCAGAAAUAUUUUUUUCUUCAUUCAGAGAAUAGGCCAAUAGCAAAUAUAUCUCUUCAGAAGGCGAGGUCAGUACAGGUGCAUCAAAGCUGGGACCGAGAGACAGAAAAACAGCUUCUAUCAAGGCCAUCAGACUGUUAAAUAGCCAUCACUAGCCAGUUACUCAACCCUGCACCUUAGAGGCUGCUACCCUAUAUACAUAGACAUGGAAUCACUGGUCACUUUAAUAAUGUUUAUGUAACCGGUGUGAAAUGGCUAGCUAGUUAGCGGGGUGCACGCUUAAAGCGUUUCAAUCGGUGACGUCACUCGCUCUGAGACCUUGAAGUAGUUGUUCCCCUUGCUAUGCAAGGGCCGUGGCUUUUGUGGAGUGAUAGAUAACGAUGCUUCGUGGGAGGUAGUUGUUGAUGUGUGCAGAGGGUCCCUGGUUCGGGGCAAGGAGGGGACGGAAGCAAAACUGUUACAUUUACAUACUGCUUUACUCAUCGCAUAUGUAUAUACUGUAUUCUAUUCUACUGUAUUUUAGCCAAUGCCACUCUUUAUUUUUAGAUUUGUUUGUAUUGUUAGAUAUUACUGCACUGUUGGAGCUAGGAACACAAGCAUUUUUGCUACACCCGCAAUAACAUCUGAUAAAUAUGUGUAUGUGACCAAUUUGAUAUCAAUAAAUAACCAUCCAUUACAAUAGGCUUGCAGGGCUACUCAAAUAUAAUACACGUAUUGUUUAACAUUGUAGUUGUGUGGGAGAGAGUCCUCGUGGCCCAUUGGGGGUGAGGGGGUUACACAUCAGAAGGGGAGGCCAUUACAGAGCAGAAACUAACAGCACCAUCAGCAGUCCCAGAAGGUGACAGAGAGGACUAGGGCACAGGGCCAGCCCGGAUGAAAUGCCUGCAUUGGGACACAAACACAAAAGCAACACUAACUGUAUGGAGACAAAGUCAACAACAUCAACUCAACAAUAAAGGAGCAUACAAUUGCAUCCUACAUCCAACACUCCUUCAAACCUUGAGCUGUCCUUCUUCCACUAGAUCCUGAUUCCUCUUCUUAUUCAGACUCAAAGUUACAAAAUAUACAUGCUGAAAGUAUGUACUGACAUAAUACGCAUCUAAUUUAAUUACCCUCUGCUAAGAUCAAGACAAUGUUAGCUUCAGUGAAACGUGUAAGGCUGACUACGAGAACCCGUCGGAUAUCGAGCCCUCAUAAUUGGGAAAAAGCCCGAAUCUGGAAAUUGAGAUUUUGGUUGUUUAGGAUUAUUUAAACGCUUUACUUUAUUGUAAUGUAAAUUUCACCUUUUUUUUGUCAUUAGCCAGCAAUGUGCCCAAUGUGAAAAACGCUCAUUUAAACUUGCCUGGGAGUGUUCCAGUUGACUUGGCACAUUCAAGACAACAUGCAACAGAUCAAUGAAAUCAGGCUGGUUUAGACACAUAAUAAUUUGCUAGAUAGUUAGUAAUAUAAUAGUAUAAAGUUGUCAUUCACAAUAAACAAUGUAGUUAUGAAUACAAGUGGGUCAGACGUUCAUUUUGUCUAUAAGUAGCCGUAGGCCACGCCAGAGCAAACCUUCAUAAAAGAAGUGCACACAUUCUUCCGAUGUUGCUUGAUCAGUGGGUUGGCCUGUUCGCUGCCAAAAUGACAUGAAAAUGGAUCAAAGUAUAUAAACAGUAUUGCCUUAAUUUCAUCCGUUCAGAAUUAUUUUGAUUUUAGGUAACAAAGCAAUUGAGAUCCUAUUCUAAAACUUGUGCUCCAACCUCAAUGAAGACCUCAGGGCUCCAGGAGCUUAUGGGUCCAAAAGCCAGGCUGUGGCUCAGCAGUCCCGUUAAAGCCUCUUCUGAACAGGCCAGCCUCACAUGGCCCAGCCACAGAACUGCCGUACCGCAGCCAGGAGGGGGAGAGGUCACAGGUAUUGCUGGAGCAGAGAGGACAGGAGUCAGGUCAUAGACGUUACCUGCUGAGUGUUCCAGGCUCGUCUUCCUGCCAAGGUCCUGUUGGUCAACAGCAGACUAGCCCUGGUCAGCACACUGAGUAGAGGGGUGCUGUGGAGCAGGGGCUCCACCUUAUCCAACCAGCCAGUCACCUCUGGAGUGAAGGGUACAGAGGCCAGGGCUGUCAGCACAGGGCUGAGCUUCUGUAGGAAGUCCACACCCAGCCAGGGCAAGAAGGGAGGCAGCUGAGAGAGAGCCAGUAGACUGAAGCUCAAUCCCAUUCAGGAACAAGCUGGAGAUCUGAAGAGGGAUGGUCACAAGCGUAACACACACAUAUAUUUACACAGGAAUCACACAAAGUGCAAACACAAGACAUUCAACCCAUAGAUUAAUCUAGUUCACUCAUACACAUAUGAGUUUCACCUUGAAUUUUGCGGUGAAAAAU
rnacentral:lncRNA from 1 species